rnacentral:misc_RNA from 1 species
UAUUUGGCACAUGGCAGGCAAUGAG